rnacentral:misc_RNA from 1 species
GAUGAAGAACGCAGCGAAAUGCGAUAAGUAAUGUGAAUUGCAGAAUUCAGUGAAUCAUCGAAUCUUUGAACGCACAUUGCGCCCAUUAGUAUUCUAGUGGGCAUGCCUGUUCGAGCGUCAUUAAGUCCACUUAAGCCCUGCUUAGUGUUGGGAAUCUACUCUAGUGGUGCUACCCUGGAGCUACCCCUGAAAGGGGGCUGGCCCGGUAGCUACCCUGUAGUUCCUCAAAGAUAGUGCGCGGAGUUGCGUGGUCCUCUGAGCUUAGUAACUAUACACCUAGCUUUUGAGUGUCCCGCGGCGCCUGCCGUUUAAACCCCAUCUUUUAAUGGUUGACCUCGGAUCAGGUAGGAAUACCCGCUGAACUUAAGCAUAUCAAUAAGCGGAGGA